AUUGAACGCUGGCGGCAUGCCUUACACAUGCAAGUCGAACGGUAACAGGUCUUCGGAUGCUGACGAGUGGCGAACGGGUGAGUAAUACAUCGGAACGUGCCCGAGAGUGGGGGAUAACGAGGCGAAAGCUUUGCUAAUACCGCAUACGAUCUCAGGAUGAAAGCAGGGGACCGCAAGGCCUUGCGCUCACGGAGCGGCCGAUGGCAGAUUAGGUAGUUGGUGGGAUAAAAGCUUACCAAGCCGACGAUCUGUAGCUGGUCUGAGAGGACGACCAGCCACACUGGGACUGGGACACGGCCCAGACUCCUACGGGAGGCAGCAGUGGGGAAUUUUGGACAAUGGGCGCAAGCCUGAUCCAGCCAUGCCGCGUGCAGGAUGAAGGCCUUCGGGUUGUAAACUGCUUUUGUACGGAACGAAAAGACUCCUUCUAAUAAAGGGGGUCCAUGACGGUACCGUAAGAAUAAGCACCGGCUAACUACGUGCCAGCAGCCGCAGUAA
rnacentral:rRNA from 1 species